UCACCCUCUCAGGUCGGCUAUGCAUCGUUGCCUUGGUAAGCCGUUACCUUACCAACUAGCUAAUGCAGCGCGGAUCCAUCUAUAAGUGACAGCAAGACCGUCUUUCACUUUUGAACCAUGCGGUUCAAAAUAUUAUCCGGUAUUAGCUCCGGUUUCCCGAAGUUAUCCCAGUCUUAUAGGUAGGUUAUCCACGUGUUACUCACCCGUCCGCCGCUAACAUCAGAGAAGCAAGCUUCUCGUCCGUUCGCUCGACUUGCAUGUAUUAGGCACGCCGCCAGCGUUCAUCCUGAGCCAGGAUC
rnacentral:rRNA from 1 species